UACGUAGGCAGCAAGCGUUGUUCGGAGUUACUGGGCGUAAAGGGUGCGUAGGCGGCGCGGUAAGUCGGGUGUGAAAUCUCGGGGCUUAACUCCGAAACUGCAUUCGAUACUGCCGUGCUUGAGGACUGGAGAGGAGACUGGAAUUUACGGUGUAGCGGUGAAAUGCGUAGAUAUCGUAAGGAAGACCAGUGGCGAAGGCGGGUCUCUGGACAGUUCCUGACGCUGAGGCACGAAGGCCAGGGGAGCAAACGGG
rnacentral:rRNA from 1 species